rnacentral:lncRNA from 1 species
AUGGGAACGACCCUCCACCCUGUAUCCCCAAAUACCCAACACGAAGUGCCAGGUGAACAAUUCUCCAGGAGGACAGAAAUCCGGCAAUGUGGAUGUGAAGACGCAGGAUCCAGCCAGGGCAGGAGAGAAGGACCCGUGCCAGACAUGCCUGAUUCCACGCAUCAUCCCUUCUGUCUACCUUGUGCCAGGCUACACGGAUCAAAGGCCACUGACCAGCUCAGGGACUGGCUGUGUUUAGGACCCUCCAAGAGUAUCAGCUAGUCUCUUCGAGUCAUGAUCUCCCUACAGGGUGAACCAUUGGGGAAAUACAUGUCACAAAGUGUCAUCUCAGACCACCUGCAGGACACAGCCUCCAGGCUAACUGGGAGCCACGCUGGAUGGGAGGACACUUUGCAUCCUGCUGUGAGCAUCACCUGUGAGUUUCUGAACUUGGUGGUCAGGGAGAGGCCCUGAAAAAGAGGGUCAGGCAGUUUAUUCCAAAAUAAGCUCUGUAUAUUUUAAAGGAAUUGAUUUCUUUAGCAGUUUUCUUCUGAAAUGUGUAGAAAUGAAUCCUGAAUGAGUCGAUUAAUCAGAAAAAGUCCUACAAACGAAAUUUGCAAAAGAGAGUCUCAGGUUCCAGGUGUCCCAGGUUUUCAUUGGUCGAUUUGCUUAUUCAUUCAGUCAGCAUUGGCUGCCCCCCCUCAAGGAGGGGUGAGGGGAGGCCAAGGAGCAAGUAGAGGGAUAUGUAGACAAGCUAUAGGUGACUGUAACUAACUCACAGUCUGGUGUGGUAUUUCGCAAAUUCUGAGGAAUGUCUUCUUUUUUGCCAUAUCUGAGUACCAUUUGUGCGAUUGUUCACUUAACAUUUUUCUUUAGGGGCUCCUGGGUGGCUCAGUUGGUUAAGUGUCCAGUUUAGGCUCAGAUCAUGAUCUCACAGUUCGUGGAUUUGAGCCCCGCAUCGGGCUCUGUGCUGACAGCUCGGAGCCUGGAGCCUGUUUCAGAUUCUAUGCCUU